GACGAACGCUGACGGCGUGCUUAACACAUGCAAGUCGAACGGUGAAGCGCCUUCCUUUUUGGUGGGUGUGGAUGAGUGGCGAACGGGUGAGUAACACGUGAGUAACCUGCCCCCUUCUUCUGGAUAACCGCAUGAAAGUGUGGCUAAUACGGGAUAUUCCGGGUCUGUCGCAUGAUGGGUCUGGGAAAGAUAUUGUUUCGGUGGGGGAUGGGCUCGCGGCCUAUCAGCUUGUUGGUGGGGUGAUGGCCUACCAAGGCGGUGACGGGUAGCCGGCCUGAGAGGGUGGACGGUCACACUGGGACUGAGACACGGCCCUGACUCCUACGGGAGGCAGCAGUGGGGAAUAUUGCACAAUGGGCGCAAGCCUGAUGCAGCGACGCCGCGUGAGGGAUGGAGGCCUUCGGGUUGUGAACCUCUUUCGCCAGUGAAGCAGGCCUGCCUCGUUUGUGGGUGGGUUGACGGUAGCUGGAUAAGAAGCGCCGGCUAACUACGU
rnacentral:rRNA from 1 species